rnacentral:rRNA from 1 species
ACUCCUACGGGAGGCAGCAGGUGGGGAAUAUUGCAGCAAUGGGGGAAACCCUGAUGCAGGCCAUGCCGCGUGUGUGAAGAAGGCCUUCGGGUUGUUAAAGCACUUUCAGUAGGGAGGAAGGUAGUGUAGUUAACACCUGCACUAAUUUGACGUUACCUACAGAAGAAGCACCGGCUAACUCCGUGCCAGCAGCCGCGGUAAUACGGAGGGUGCGAGCGUUAAUCGGAAUUACUGGGCGUAAAGCGCAUGCAGGCGGCCUGUUAAGUCAGAUGUGAAAGCCCGGGGCUUAACCUCGGAAUUGCAUUUGAAACUGGUAGGCUAGAGUCUUGUUAAGAGGGGGUA